UGUAAAAAGUCUUUUUUCGCUUCCACUUGAAUAGAAGAUGAAACUGGAAUGCAAAGGAUACAUGGGCUUUUCUCGGAUUUAUGUGGAGAACCUUGAUUCUUCCACCAAUUCUAAAGUUAUUCAUAACCUUUUAUGCAUCUGCGGUUAUACUUGCUCGAGGUUUCGUUUGAAGAUGAUCAUUUGGUACCAGAUGUGGGUCUCAAUUUUGUGGUGUAUGAAUCUUUAAAGAUUGGUUGGUUAAAUCAAGAC